rnacentral:tRNA from 1 species
GAAAUAUCUAUAGUUAAGCUUCUAACUUAAUAAAAAGCGAUUAAACCCGUUUAUAUUUCU